AUGGUUUGGGUUUCAUCCUAUAUCCUGUUGCAGUUUACUUGGCCCGAUGCCUGGUGUGCUCACUUUCGUCUUGCCAAGAAAAGGGUACAUCUAUAUAAUGAAUAUAUGUUGAUUCUACAAAGCGACAUGUAUUUUGAUAUGUGUUCAAGGAAAAAUGCCGAAUCUACCUAUUCUUAUCCAUCCAGAGGUUGUGAUAUACUUUGUCAACCAAUGGAUUAUUACAAAUUUGACCUUCUCAAUAUGGUGUUCAUUUCCAUGUGCAGAAAUAGAUUGUAUCAUGCUUUGUUACAGAUUCUGUAG
rnacentral:rRNA from 1 species